GCGAGAGUGGCGAAAUUGGUAGACGCACCAGAUUUAGGAUCUGGCGGUUUCGGCUGUGUGGGUUCGAGUCCCUCCUCUCGCACCA
rnacentral:tRNA from 1 species